AUUGAACGCUGGCGGCAUGCCUUACACAUGCAAGUCGAACGGCAGCACGGGAGCAAUCCUGGUGGCGAGUGGCGAACGGGUGAGUAAUAUAUCGAAACGUGCCCAAUCGUGGGGGAUAACGUAGCGAAAGUUACGCUAAUACCGCAUACGAUCUACGGAUGAAAGCGGGGGAUCGCAAGACCUCGCGCGGUUGGAGCGGCCGAUAUCAGAUUAGGUAGUUGGUGGGGUAAAGGCCUACCAAGCCUGCGAUCUGUAGCUGGUUUGAGAGAACGACCAGCCACACUGGGACUGAGACACGGCCCAGACUCCUACGGGAGGCAGCAGUGGGGAAUUUUGGACAAUGGGGGCAACCCUGAUCCAGCCAUGCCGCGUGCAGGACGAAGGCCUUCGGGUUGUAAACUGCUUUUGUACGGAACGAAACGGCCUUUUCUAAUACAGAGGGCUAAUGACGGUACCGUGAGAAUAAGCACCGGCUAACUACGUGCCAGCAGCCGCGGUAA
rnacentral:rRNA from 1 species